UACGUAGGGGGCGAGCGUUGUCCGGAGUUACUGGGCGUAAAGGGCGCGUAGGCGGUCAGCACAAGUCAGUUGUGAAAUCUCCGGGCUUAACUCGGAAAGGUCAACUGAUACUGUGCGACUAGAGUGCAGAAGGGGCAACUGGAAUUCUCGGUGUAGCGGUGAAAUGCGUAGAUAUCGUAAGGAAGACCAGUGGCGAAGGCGGGUCUCUGGACAGUUCCUGACGCUGAGGCACGAAGGUCAGGGGAGCAAACAGG
rnacentral:rRNA from 1 species